GAUGAACGCUGGCGGCGUGCCUAAUACAUGCAAGUCGAGCGAACAGACGAGGAGCUUGCUCCUCUGACGUUAGCGGCGGACGGGUGAGUAACACGUGGAUAACCUACCUAUAAGACUGGGAUAACUUCGGGAAACCGGAGCUAAUACCGGAUAAUAUAUUGAACCGCAUGGUUCAAUAGUGAAAGACGGUUUUGCUUUCACUUAUAGAUGGAUCCGCGCCGCAUUAGCUAGUUGGUAAGGUAACGGCUUACCAAGGCAACGAUUCGUAGCCGACCUGAGAGGGUGAUAGGCCACAUGGGAACUGAGACACGGUCCAGACUCCUACGGGAGGCAGCAGUAGGGAAUCUUCCGCAAUGGGCGAAAGCCUGACGGAGCAACGCCGCGUGAGUGAUGAAGGUCUUCGGAUCGUAAAACUCUGUUAUUAGGGAAGAACAAAUGUGUAAGUAACUAUGCACGUCUUGACGGUACCUAAUCAGAAAGCCACGGCUAACUACGUG
rnacentral:rRNA from 1 species